rnacentral:lncRNA from 1 species
GACCGAGGACAUAUAACAGGGCCAUUAUAAAAACACCCAUUUCUUAAUACAUUUAUUAACCAACUGAACAAAAGUGUAUGUGUUGCUGCUAACUUGAUGUACUGUUUUACUCUUUUAAUGACAGUUUAGUUUGAACAAAAUAAUUUGUACUUCACCAUUAUAAAGCUUUAAAUAUACCAAAUAUCCAAGAUAUUAAGUUGAAAGAGAUAUGUGUUAAAAAACAGGAUGAACAGUGAUCCCUUUAUAUGGUUCUUUAAUGUUGGUUGCUGGUUACUAAAUUAAAUAAAAUACAAAAAGGUAUUAUGCUCUUUACAACUUAGUUUUAUUAACUUUAUUAAAAACCCUAACAGGGCUCAAUACAGACAAACUGGGCAUUAAUACAGGGCCAUUACAGAAAAAACAGGGCCAUUACAGAAAAAACAGGGCCAUUACAGAAAAACAGGGCCAUUACAGAAAAAAACAGGGCCAUUACAGAAAAAAACAGGCCAUUACAGAAAAA